rnacentral:rRNA from 1 species
GAUGAACGCUGGCGGCGUGCUAACACAUGCAAGUCGAACGGAAAGGCCUGUACUUGUACAGGUACUCGAGUGGCGAACGGGUGAGUAACACGUGGGUGAUCUGCCCUGCACUGUAGGAUAAGCCCGGGAAACUGGGUCUAAUACCAUAUAGGACCACUUCUUGGAUGUUGUGGUGGAAAGCUUUUGCGGUGUGGGAUGAGCCUGCGGCCUAUCAGCUUGUUGGUGGGGUAAUGGCCUACCAAGGCGGCGACGGGUAUCCGGCCUGAGAGGGUGUACGGACACAUUGGGACUGAGAUACGGCCCAGACUCCUACGGGAGGCAGCAGUGGGGAAGAUUGCACAAUGGGCGCAAGCCUGAUGCAGCGACGCCGCGUGGGGGAUGACGGCCUUCGGGUUGUAAACUCCUUUCGCUAUCGACGAAGCCACCUUGGGUGGUGACGGUAGGUAGAUAAGAAGCACCGGCUAACUACGUGCCAGCAGCCGCCGUAA